rnacentral:rRNA from 1 species
CCUACGGGAGGCAGCAGUGGGGAAUUUUCCGCAAUGGGCGAAAGCCUGACGGAGCAAUACCGCGUGAGGGAAGAAUGCCUACGGGUUGUAAACCUCUUUUAUCAGGGAGGAACAAAAUGACGUGUACCUGAUGAAUAAGCAUCGGCUAACUCUGUGCCAGCAGCCGCGGUAAGACAGAGGAUGCAAGUGUUAUCCGGAAUUACUGGGCGUAAAGCGUCUGUAGGUUGUUGAACAAGUCAACUGUUAAAUCUUGAAGCUCAACUUCAAAAUCGCAGUCGAAACUGUUUGACUAGAGUAUAGUAGAGGUAAAGGGAAUUUCCAGUGGAGCGGUGAAAUGCGUAGAUAUUGGAAAGAACACCGAUGGCGAAAGCACUUUACUGGGCUAUUACUGACACUCAGAGACGACAGCUAGGGUAGCAAAUGGGAUUAGAUACCCCAGUAGUCCUAGCCGUAAACUAUGGAUACUAGAUGUUGAACAGAUCGACCUGUGCAGUAUUAAAGCUAACGCGUUAAGUAUCCCGCCUGGGAAGUAUGCUCGCAAGAGUGAAACUCAAAUGAAUUGACGG